UUUUAAAAAAAUGUUCAUUAAAAUCAAAAUUUUGUAAAUUAAGAUUUUGAUAUAUCAAUCAAGAUUGAAAACAUAAAAUUAGACAAAUCUCACGGAGUUUCAAAAUAGAUCUUCCUUAAAAUAUAAUAAAAUAAUAACUAGUCAAAUAAAAAAAAUCUCACACUUAUAGAUGUGUGAAACUAUCACACUGUGUUAAUAGUCAAAUACAUUUUUCUAUUUAUCAAUUAAUUAUAUGUUAAUUAUAAUAAUAAACAUUAUUAAGAUUAGUUGUGUUUGUAUGAUAUAUCAACGUGUGUUAGUAGUUAAAUAAAUUUAAAACAAUUAUCUUAACUUAAAAUUUUUAUUUUGAUUUUAAUUGGUGAGAGUUUUGGAUAAAUAAGAGAAUUUAUUAACUUUUCUUAAGUUCAAAUGUAUUUUUGAAACUUUCCAAAUUUAACCGUUUCAAUUCAAAAACUAAUGUUAAGAGUAUUUUUGAGUUAUUUUUAAAGUGUAAAAGUGUAUUUUUGAAACUUUUAAAAGAUUACGGAUAUUUUUGACACAAAUAUCGAUAUCAAAGUUGAGGAGCAUUUUCUUUGCAAUAACGAAGUUUGCCUCCUCGAUCCAUGGAUUUAAGACGUGGGUUUUGCUUUAAUACGAAUAAAAAUAGAAAUGCAUUAGUUUAAAAUUGAAUUCUAGUUUACUACGAAUGGGUGAUACUUAGGGUGUAUCUUGAAAUGUUUUAUAUUUUAUGCAUCUCUUUUUCAUCAUUCACGUUAAACAAAUAAUUAAAAUAUUCCAUAGAAGUAAUAAAAGACUUGCCACAUAACAAAUUGUUGGGAUGUACGAAGGUAGGCGAUGUUCGGGAUGCGCCUAAGUUUUAUUCUUUCAAAAGGAUCUUUUUUUAUUGUCGUGCCAAUAUUAAAUUAAAUUUUUUUAUAUAGAAAGAUUUUUUUAAACUUAUUUUUCAAAACUGACUGAUUCAAAAACUUUUUUAUUUAUUUAUAUAAAUAUAACAAAAUGUACCUGUAGAUAUUCUAGCUCAUUUUAUUAUAUUUAAAAACAUUUUUUUACUUUGAAACAAACAGAUAAUUUUUGAAAAUGAGUGGGUAAUGACUAUGGAAGAACUGUUAAAAUUAUAAGAUUUAACAAAAUAUUUAGACAAAAUGACAUGUAAUAAAUUUUGUGUUUUAGGGGUUUGAGAGUAAAAUAGUUUAUCAUUUUUUUUAAUUUUUGAAGAAACCCCAUCUAUUUAUUUAUCUAUUUUUCCUUCUUUCUUAGAGCUAAUUUAUGGUUUAAUUAAGACCCAAACUCUAUUUUUGACCUUCUUAAUUAAAAAGAAUAUAUAAGACCCUAUGAUAUGUAUUAUUACUUUCAACAUAUUUAAUUUCUUGUUUGGCUCUUUUAAAAAUUAUUAACUCAAUUUUUUAAAAUCUGAAAAAUAGUUUUAGAAACUAAUUUUUGCUCUUGAUUUUGGUUAAAAUUUUGAGUGUUGCUGAAUUAAACAAUAUGAAUUAAAAUUACAGUACAAGAAGCUGUAAGAAACUCAUUCUUAUAAACUAAAAACUGAAACCAAAUAAUUUCUAAAUUGAUUCCUUCCAAUAUAUAUUUUGUACCAACGCAACUUAAAAUUUCAAAUAAAAAAGUAAUUUAAAUUGUUUUUAGAAUUUGAAAAGAGGGAAAUCAAUUGACAAUUUGAGAAAAAAACAGACGUAAUUUUUUUUUAAAAAAAAUGCAAUAUUUAUUUAUUUUGAAAGAGAAUAUCGAACACGUUCAUCUUUUUCUUAAAAAAAAUUCUGAUUCUUUUGGAAAAUGAUCUAAUAAACACACACACUUAUAUUAUACCACUUGUAAACUAGGCUUAACUAAGAUCAGCAUCUACUCCCUAAUUAACAUUUUUCUAUGUUUUCUAAUAUACUUUACAAUUGGUAGACAGUAAUAAUAUAUUUUCAAUUACAAUUUUAAGAGUUUUCGGACAUUAAACCAUUCUUUUUUGGAAAGAAAAAUGUAGUUAAAAUUAGAUUACUCGAGUAAGAAAUGUAGUUGGUAUGUGAAGGAGUUUUGUAUAUUUCUAAUAUCACUCAGCUCGUCUUUCAAUCAAACUCAAAACUUAACGUUUAACAUUUUAAAACUUAAAUAUUAAAUAGGAACUAAAUUCAAAACUAAAGAAUGAAAAAGAUAUUCUUCGUCCUAGUUAUAUAUUAGCACUCAUGUCAUCUCUCCUAUGUUUUCGUAAAUUUCGAGAGUAAUUAAACUUUGUGAGAAGAGGGAAUAAUAUAAAGCAAAAAAGUAAGUUACAUGAAUCUAAACUUUAAUUACUACAACCACUAUUCUCAAUCUUGAACAAUAUAACACAUGUGAUACCACAUCACUUUAUAUAAACACAUUUAGAAGAUUCUUUAAAAAAAAUUAUUCCUUUUUUCAAUUUUAGGGGCAACCAACAGCAUAAUUAAUUUCAAAACAGCCUUUGAAAUGUUGGAUGGAACAAUCAAACCUAAACCUAACCUCAAAAUUGAUAUAGUACAAAUAUUAAAUUAUUUUAUUAUUAUUAUUUAUCCAAGCGAAUUUUAAAGAGUUAAUUAGUGGGAAACUUUAAUUUUAUUCUUUGUUAUGGAUUCUUAUUGAUUCCCUUAUAAGUUUAUAGCAUAUUGUGUUUAACAAAAGAGUUUGUCCUAACAUUUACAAAUUCAUGAAAACAGAAAAUAAAGGUUGGUUUUAUUUAAAGCAUGGCAUAGGAACCUUUUCCUUAAGCCAAAAAGUAACACUGACAGUUGAAAUAUGCAACUAAUCAAAGGCAUCAAAUAGCCAAAUUUAAAUUAAUACCCUAAAAAAUAAUGUUAUGAUUGAAUCUCUUAAUCUAUUAAUUAGUUCAUUAUUUUGAUUUCUUAUGAUUUUUAAUUCAUCUCAAUCCAAAAUUACAUUUUGAAAAAGGUAAUAUAUACAUAGUUGCACUCUAGGCGACACUUAAUUAACUUCAUGCAUCUCUCUUUUUUCUUCUAGGAAAAAAUGUUCAAAUAUAUCUACUGCAAUAAUAACCAAACUUUAGAUAAUGUCAAACGUUAUCAAUUAUAUUAAAAUUAAAAAACUUAAUAUAUCAUAACAAAUUAAUAAAAUGAGGGGAAAAAAUACAAAAUCAUCAAAAUUAUUAAAUAAAAUACAAAACAAUAAUGUGUUAUCCUAAAGGACAGCAUGCCAUUCUAUAUUUGGACCUUAGUAAGUAGAAAAAUGAUAAAGGAAUUUCCAUAUGCACAACUAAUUAAUUAAUCACUGACUUUCUCUUUUUUUUUUUUUUAGCUCAAAUAGAAUUCAAAUAUAGGAAUUGAAGUGUAGAGUCUGUAGACCAUCGAUCUUUUAAACUAUGAUACUAAAUUUGUUGAUUUAAUAUACUUAAAAAAUUAUAUAUUGACGAACAUAAUUCAAUAAAUAAUAUAUUAAUUAUCAUUUCGUACAUAUACACAAUAAGAAAGUAUCUCUUUAUUCAAAGAUAUUUCUUAGAAGCAGUUUACAACAAGAGAGAGUAUCCUUUAUUUAAAAAAAGAAAAAAGAAAAAGAAGAGUUACUAUAAGCAGUUUUUGAUUAGAACAAAUGGAAAUAAAGAUUUGAACUUGACCCUAAACACUCACAAACAGUUAUUUAGUAAUAGUUUCACGAUCUCGAGUAUAAUUUGUUGAUGGAUCGUAAAGUAAAAUAUGAAAAAUCAUAUAUAAUCUUGAUCACACAUGAUUUUUCAUCUUUUUUUAUAGUACGUCCCACAGAUUAUACACUGAAAUCAUUUAAACCAUAUAUAGUAAAGGGAAAAAGAAACUCAAAAAAGAAAAGAAUAGAAAAUAAAAGGUAAAAGAAUAUAUCAAAUGAUGGUAUAUUGGCGUUGCUCAGCAUAAUUAACAAGUGACUCGAAAUCCUUCUCGCCGAUGAAUCCAUCUCUGUCAGAGUCGGCAUGAAGAAGAGCGUGGCGAGCUCGGUAGGUCGGGAGAAAGGCGCCGAUAUAUCGGAAGGCUUCAGUGAGCUCGGUGGUGCUGAGACGGCCGUCCUUGUCGCUGUCAUGGUUUCUGAAGAUCAGAAGUAACUGUUCUCUUGAUAGCUUUGCCCUUGGGUAGUAGUUUUUGCUUUUUCUCGACAUUUUUAUCCCUACAAUUCUUCUUCCUUCCUCUCUUUUGCUCUCACUAUUUGCUUGUAAAGAGCUUUUGAAGUGUAGUUGUGUUUUGGGUUCUGCAUAUGUUGUCUUUAUAUAUAGGAGUUUUAUUAGUCAUGUGGGGGAUAUUAAAUUAAUUAUUAUUUAUAUAUUUUUCUAACAUUUCCUUUCUUUUAGUUUAGGGUUUAGAUUCUUGAACGUCAGAAUUGUUCUGUCAAAGUCAGAAAUAUUUUGGGUGAGGGAGAGGAAAAAUAAAGUUUGCUUCUUUUUUUUUUUUUUUUUUUGAAUAUGUGGGUGAAGGCAUCAAAUUUUGACAAAGAUUGAUAGUAUGUCCAUGAUGUAAUGCUUAUUGUGACUAUUCAGAUAGAGAUCAUGUUAAUAUAGUUUACUUUAUACUUAUUCUAUUUUACCAUUGGAUGCUUAAAUCUCAACUACAUAUUGUUAACUGUUAUUGUUUAUAAAGCUAAUAGAUAAAAGUAAAUUACUACACGAAAUAAAUAGUAAAUAAAUAAGUUGUGCUAUAUAAUUGUGUAAGAAUAGAUAAAAUGAAAGGGGUUAACAUAAAAAAUAACAAAUGAUAUGUUUAUUUUCUGUAUAUCUUUUCCAAUUUUGAAUAAUAAUUUUUUGGUUUAAUGAACGAGAGUAGAUGAAUUAGCCUUCCCCAUUUCCAUUCCCAUUUUUGUUUGUUUCUUUUUACUAAUUAUUGAUUAAUUUCAACCAAAUAAUUCUUUAUUUUCUUAAAUGCUUAAUUAAAUGACACAUUUUCAAAAAAAAAUAUUAUUUAAAUACAAGAUUAUAAAAUCAACAAUAAUAUUCUACAUGUAAUAUGCAAAGAUUUUUAAAGCGCUAAAUUCCACUAUUUCUAAAUAUUAAUACAUUAUUUAUUUAUAAAUAAAUUAAUAUAAUAGAACAUUCAAGGUCAUAAAGCAAGAAAAAGUCUUAAACAAGUUUUCAAUUACACAGAUAACGAUAAAGUUUUUUUAUUAAAGAAAAUAAAACCAUACAACAACAUAUCCAUCAUAGAUUAAUCAAACUUUGUAAGAGAUGACAUUAAUGAAUGGUGAAUCGGGUAAGAUGAGAGAGGGAAAGCGUUGUUUCAAGACUUCUUAAAAUUUUAUAUAAUUAUUGUUCAAUAAAAUACGUUAAUAUUAAUCCUUCAAACAAAUCGUUCGAGAUUUACCACUCUUAAAAUAAAAUAAAAAAUUUCACUUUAUUGAUUGUUUUCGACCUUCUCAACAAUCAAACUAAGAUUCUAGUAAUUUUUUCAAAUUUGGUAUAUUUUAAAAGAAAUUCAAAAUUCAACUAUUUUACUCAAUAUUAUACCUAAGUCUUAUGUCCAUCUAAAAACGGAUUUAAAGGUUUAAAAAAUUACUAAGAUUUUGAUAUAUAAUUAGUUUUGAUUUUGAUAUCAUACAGGGUGAAGGUAACUAUUUUGGAAAAGUAUGGGAAAUAUUUGAAAAAAAUUACUCCCGACAAGAUUCAAAAUAAUUGAUAAGUUGAAAAAAUAAAUAAAUCUUAGUGUGGAUUGAAAAAAAUUGUUUGAACAUAUCUUUAAAAAGUGCUAAUUUUGUAUGACAAAAACUCAAUUAUUCAAUUAUUGAAUUUCCAAUUUUUCUCUCCGUUUAGUAACGAGUCCUCGUAGGACCGAUGAAUUAAAUGAAUAUAUAUAGUGUUAAUCAACUUAAGGAAGGUAGCGAGUCUCUAAAAUUAACUUAUUUGGUAAGCCUCGUAAUUUCAAAAACUUAGACUUCUUUAAGACAUGUGGAUUAACUCUCAUUUCGUUUCUGUUUUUUUGUUUUAGAAGAUUAAUUUUUUUAAAAUAGAUAUGGUUGGUACUUCUAAUUUUUUUAAUAAAAUAAGUUAUUUAAACAUAUAUAAUUUUUUAUUUUAAUAAACAAAAAAUUUAAAACAGAAAAAAACAAUUAAAAAAUUGAAGUACAAUUAAAAAGAAAAAUCAAAACUUAUGAUAAAUGUACUUCAUGGUAAUUUCACAAGCAUAUAGUAUAUGUUAACUCUUUUGCUUUUUAUCCAACACAGUAAGUUAAUGUUACUCGUGGUAAAACAUUUAAAUCAAGUCAAUUUGUUUUCUAAACUAAUUAAAGCUUUAACUUUUAAAAGUUUCAACUCCUGUAAUAAAUUAACAUACAUUGUCAAAGUUUCUUUUAAUACAUGUUUAAUAAUAAUAAUAAAAAGAUUAAUUAAGAAGCAACGUUUUGGAUUAAAAAAUGAAAAUAUUUAAAACGAGAGAAGAGGGAAAAAGAAAACAUGUUUUCAUUGAUAAUAAUUUUCAUUUCACAUUUAUAUUUACUGUACUUGAAAAUCUUCAUCUUUAAUUUUUUUACUAAAACAAUUCAAUUUCUUCAAACUACUUUUAGAUUUAAUGUCAUUAUUUAAUUCAUUAUCGUAUAAUUAGUUUAAUUUGGAGGGUUUGACAGUCAAAAAGAACAAAAAAAAAAUUAACUAUUGAAGUAUUUAUAAAGUUUAUUUUAAAUUGAUUUUAAUAAAAAUAAAUCAUUUUUUUAAGUUAAUCUAAACGUGCUUUUAACAAUAACAUUUUUAAAAUUAUAAAAUAAAUUAACGACAAUUUUGGAUUCUAUCCAUCUCUAUUAAUAUUUAUUAUCAAUAUAAUUUAAAAAUUUGGGUGUAUGUUUGAUAACUUUUAAAAAUUAUUAAAAAAUAGAUGUUUCCAUUUUCAAAUUUUAGAAAAGCUUAGGAACAAAAUCAGAUUUAAAGCAAUGAAUUCAAAUUCUGGAGGUUGGAAAUUUUCAAUUAAUUAUGUGUAUAGUUGGAGUUAUCUUUAAGUUUAUGCUUUUGUUAAUUUUUUUUUGGGAACAUGAACUUGAAAUUUAAAAUUAGAUUGUGAUAUGGAAAGAUAUUGGAAUCCAAUAAUUCAUUGUAUUUAGAAAUAAUUCUCUGCCUGUUCUUUUUAUUAGAAAAAAGAAACAGAAGAAUAUGAUCCAGAAGAAAUAUAAAUGUUAAACGAUAAAAAUAGGGUUAAGAUUAAUGUCAUCAUUUGGCACUUUGAAGAAAGUAAAAUUGUAAAGAAUCUUUUUUCAAUGUAGACUCCCACUUCCACUUCCACCCACCUUCAUAAAUUUAUAUUCCUUCUACAUUUUAUUAGUAUUUUAUUUUAUUUUUCCAUGUGUAAUUAAUGAAAAAAAAACCAUUUAAAAAUUUAAGACAAGACUCAAUCGAGCAUUGGAUACGAUCAAAAAUAUUAGAGUUUUUGCAUGUCACAUAAUAGGACGAUAUGAUUAUGUAUCUUAUGUUCUUGUAGUUGAGUUCUCCUUAGUUAUUAGUUUGAAUGGAGAGAUAUUAUUACGUGUGCUUAAUCAAUCUAAAUACAUCGUGUGCUUAAUCAAUCUAAAUACAUGUAUGGUAAUCUUAUAGUUUUGAGAUAUAUUUGACUCGAAUUUAUACCAAUAGAGUUCUUUUUUAGCUUAAUUUGGACUAAGAAUAAAACAAGAUAGAGCGACAUGACAAGAUCUGUAAAGUUUGUUUCCGUUUAUGGUAAUUAAAAAAAUAUAGACAGAGCAUCAAUUCAUUGAUAUAAAAUUUAACGCAAAAAUUGAAAUUAAAAUUUUUGAAAAAUGACCGUGAAUAUUUAAAGAUAGUUAACGGUUUGAGAUGUUAAAAAAGAGAAUAGUAAUAUUUGGUCAUACUAUGACAUUUCAUUUUUCUAAUUAAUGGAGCUUUUAACUUAGUAAUUGAUAUGACAUUUGAUUUGAGAUAGAAGAGGUUUGAUUCUAAAUAUGUGAACAAAAUAAUUUUUUAAAAAUAUAAAAUAAAACGUAAAUUGGGGAAACAUUACAUUUUAAUAUUUUAAUAAUAUUCAUCGGUCGUAGUUGGUUUUUUUUUUUAUUUCUAGUUUUGUUUUUUUUAAAUGAUAGGUUUAAAUCUUAUUUUGGUUUCUAAACUUUAUGUCUUAUUAUAUAAAAUAUCGUUAACUCUAACGAAAUGAUGAGAUGACUUCUAUAUCUCGAUGAUAAUGCUACUAAAUAAUAUAAUUAACUCUUACCAAUCUAGGGUUUUAAUUUUUAAUCAAAGACUGUAUGGUAAAUAGAUGUUUCAUCGGAGAACUAAAAAAGUUACUUUGUCUUCAAGAAUUUUGUUCAUCAUCAUUUUGAUGCAUUGUCGUUCAACUGUCACUUUCUCAACUCACAUGCUAAGAUGCAAUUCUCAUCCACAUACACAGUUUUUAGUGUCUCAAGUUUGACGUUUUUUGUGAUUCAUUGGGGUGUUUUUUUUUUCUUCUUCCUCUCGGGGGGGGUUGUGAAUCUUUGUGAAAAUAUUUACCUGCAAUUUUGUGAGUUUAUUUUAUAUACAUGUGUUAUAUAUAUUUUAUUUUUCUAGUUUACCUUGUCAUUAUAUUUAUUUUUUUAUUCUACUCAAUGUCAUCCUUUUGAUCAUUUGUUUCCACAUUUCAAUUUGAAAUAAAAAUAAAAAAGGAGGAGGAGCGAUGAGAGGAUGUGAGAGAUUUAAGUUUUUUUUAAACAAGAUUAGUUUUUAAUUUAGGUUUUAUUUGAUUCAAAUGUAGUGUUGACGUAAAAGAUUAUAGAAUAAAUUAGUAAGAUUUUCUAAAUAUUUAUCAAUUUGAUUAAUACGAUGAAUCUAAAGUCUAAUCAUUCAAAUAUAGAAUAAAUUAGUAAGACUCAAUGAAAUUCUAAUAACAUGGAUCAAAGUAAGUUUUUUUCUUCUUAAAAAUUAAAAACUUCUGGGACGAAAAAGGACAUUUUCUAAAAUUUAUAAACCAAAAUAGAACUCGAUACAGAGUUUAUGAACUAAAAUAAGAUUUUAACCUAAAAAACAAUAUAUUAUUUGUCUAUGCAAAAUGUUUUGUAUUUAUUUGUUAGUAAUUCAAUAUUUUUUUUAAUUGAAAUAACUAUUUGAAUUAUCAUGUUUAUUUUGCUUCAUAUAAGAUGAAUAUGUGGAUUGUCAUCACUUAGAUGUAUAUGAAUUUAAACACUCUUAUGGAAAGCAUCCAAAAAUACAACUUUUCAACAUUCUUAGAUUGAGCUUAUCAUUUUUAUUUCUCACUUGUUUCCUUCUCCACCGUGACUUCUAAUUUACUCCAAUUUAAAUUUAAACUAAUCCUUAUUUUAUAAGAAAAAUGUUAAAUAUAUAUAAAAACAAUAUCAAUGAUAAUCAUUUUCUUUUAAAAAUCAAAUUAAUAAAAAGAUAUACGUUGUAUAAAUUCAAAAUAUAUUAAAGUAAUUAUAAAUAAAUGAAGAAUUAAGGCUAAAAUAUUAUUGGAAAAUGAUCUGAGUAGAAUAUAUUUAGUAGUAAAAAUCCUAUUAAUUGAUUGUGAUUGUUUCAUGUUCGUGUAGAUAAAAGUAAACAAACCUAAAGUAGAAGGGAUAAGAAAAAAAAAGAGAGACUAAAAAGAUAAAUAGAAGUAAGUAGUUUUUUUAUGUGUACUCUCUUACUUUUCUUACAAUUACAUUAAACUGGCAUAUGAAUAAUUGGUGAUGCUCGACUCUUUUAUUUGUGAGGUUUUGGUUCGUAGUUGUUUCUUAAGAUAUUUAUUUACUUAAAUGUUUUAUGUAAUUUUCUUUUCUAGUUGAGGUGUGACAAGGGUUGGUUUCUUCUUUCUAACAAGUAUGGUAUGUUGAACAAUUUAAUUUAUGAUUUUUUAUUUUGUUAUUAUAGUUUUAGAAGAAAAAAAAUGAAAACAUUUGUAUAUAAUACGUCUUAUGUUUGUCUUGGUAUCUUUUUCUAUGGACACAAAUAAAUGCUACUUUAUAGCUUUUGACAUUUUCACUAGCACGACACGUGUUCAUUAUUAAAACACAAAAGAAUUUUUAAUUGUUUCUUUUCUUAUCUUUUGUCACUUUUUAUACAUAUAUACUUGUCUCAUCGUCAAAAGGCAAAAGAUAAAUUAAGAUAACUUUUUGAAAAGUUGCAUUAUAUGACAAAAACAUUUAGAGAAAAACAACUCAUCACAUCUCUUUUUUUGCAUAUUGUUGAAUAUGCAUGGCAAAUAUAACAAGUGAUUAAUAAUAUCAGACGACUAUCGACUUUUAAAUUUAUUACUUUUACAAUUUAGAAAAUAUAAUAACAUCAGUAUUUUUUGUUUUUUUUUUUUUUUUUUUUGCUAUUUUUCAAGUAUUCUUAACUUUUUUUUAUAUUUUUAAAGCAAGAUAUUUAAAGACAAACUCAUGUCAAUUUUUUAAUCCAUCCUAGUUGCUUUGGCCAUAAUACUAAAUCAAAGUAUAAAAGAAUAAUAAACAAUAAAAAAAAAUGUUACUAAUAUAAAUAUAAUAUAAGUCGUAUACAUGUUAAUUCGUUUAAAAAUGUUAAAAUGUUUAUUUUUAUUUUUUCAAAAAAUAAAUCGAUUAAAAAAUAUAUUGAUCUCAAUGCUAAUAAACUGGAGUUAAUAUAUUUUUAAUUUAUAAUCAUUUAACCUUUAAAUUUUAUUUUAUAGUAUGAACAAUAUUAUUAAAGAUAUUGUUAAGGGAAGUUUAAUUCAUUGAUAGGUAGAUGAACAAAAUUGGAUGUGUUUAUAAACUACAACUGUUACAUUGUUACCAUGGUAGAAUUAAUUAUACUAUUAAAUUUUGAUGAAUGAUUGAUGUAUUAUUUGAAGCUCUAUUUUAAUAACCGAUUUUUUGUUUCUACUUUUCUAAAUUUAAGUUUAUAACCCUUAUUACUAUCUCUAAUAUCUCUAAUGUAAGUAUUUAUGCUUUUGUAUUAAGUUUCUAUGUACAUUUUCAAAAUCAAUCCAAGUUUUGAAAAUGUACUUAAAGAAGUUCGUUAGCAUUUUCAAGUGUUGUUUCAUCUGUAGUGAAAUUCAUAAUUAUUAGAGAAAUAAUUAAGAGUUGAAGUAUUUAAUUAAAGAAAAUCUAUAAAUUGUGAUGAAAAAAAUGGUUUAAUUUAUAAGGUUGAGAUAUAUUAUUCCUUCUUAGAACUGACAAUUCACAAACUUUAGCAUAAAGCUGUUGUAUUGAUAUAUUUCUUUUGUACCUUGUUUUCUUCUUUUCAUUUUAUGAUAGAGGAUUAUCUUUGGUUAUGAAUUUUAUUAUAAUGUUUUAUUGAAUUUAUAAAUUUUAGAAUGAAAAAUUACGAAAGAUGACGAUUAAAUUCAAAAUAUUAAUAAAAUUUGAUCUAUACCAAUAUCACUUAUAGAUUAUAAGAAUUUAUCAAACAUAUAAAUCUAUUAGUUAUAUUUAUAAUUUUCUAAAAAGUAUAUACUUAACAAUUAUUCAUAAAAUCGUUUCCUGUUAGACUCACGUGUAUCAAUUUACAUUCUUAUUUGUCAAAGUUCAUUAUUAAAAAAAAUUAUUGAGUUAAAUUUAUAAUUAUCUCAAUUAAAUUUCAUAAUUUUUCCAAUGUAAAUCGAGCUAGACAUUUUAAUAAAGAUUAUCUUAAAAUCAAUGCAAAUUAUUUUUAAAGAAACCAUAAGUGAAAAUUUUAAAAUUUAGCUAAUGAAUAUAACUAAAAUUCUGUAUUUAAAGUGAAUUUGCCUUUUUUAUUCUUUUGAUUCGACCUUUUACUUAUUUUGUAUGAAAAAAAUAAAAUGAAAGUUUAACACCAUAUUUAUCAACCGAAAGUUGAUUUUGAGGAAUAAAUUGACAUUGAUAUUUUUCUAAAAAUAAAUUAUAUGGAUCUUUAAGCUUAACUUAUGUAAUUUAAAAAAUCAUUAUUGGAUGAAAAACAGAACAUUCAAUUGAAAGAAAAAUAAUAGGUGUCUUCAGAAUGAAAUUAUGCUUUAAUGUACAAUUAAUGAAAUUAUUGUACAAUUUUCUUUUAAAAAAUGGGGGAAAUUAAAGAAAAGAAAAGCAUAAUUCAAAGAAAAAUAAGGAGUGAGCUUAUAAUGGAAUUAUUGUAAAUAGACACAAUUAUUGGAAUUAAUGUAUAAAUAAACUUUAAAAAGACCAAAAUUUAAAUAAAAUAAUAAAAGAAAGAUAUUGAUGUACAAAAAAGAAAAAAAAAAAAAAGGGACAAAAGGAAUAUGAUAAUAUGUUGAAGACAGGAUGGGUAAUACAUUCUUUGUGUCUAUUCCCCAAAUUAUAUUAAACAAAAAUUCUCCAUUCUCCAUUUUCUAUAUUCUAUUUAAUUUAUUCCAAGAAUAAUCACUCACACUCUCAAAUAAAAAGAGUUUAAAUAUCAUUUUAUAUUUUAAAAUCUUAAUAUAAAUGACCAAAUAUUAAAACUAAUUAUAAAAUAUAGUAAAAAAAAUUAAUUACAGCUGUUCUUUAUAAAUAUUUUUAAUAUUUUACUAUUUUUGAAAACGUCUCUUUUUUAUCUUUUAAAUUUUAUUUUAAUAUUAUCAAUAUGUGAAAUUUCAGUAGAUAAAUCUUCUCGAAAAUUCCCAAGUAUCGUCUCCAACCAUCAUAAUAUUUAUUUAUAGCAACCUCAUAUUAAUAAAAGAAAAAGAACAUUGUUAUGAUAGAUAAGAUUUUAAAGAAUAUAUUUUAUUGUAAUGAUUAAUUAAAUUAAUUAAUGUGGUUAUUAUAAUGUAGAAAUUAGAUUUGGUUCCAUCAGUUAGAAAAGGAAGAAGAAGAAAAUUAAAGUGUAAUUAUAAUUAACAAAUAAAUAAAGUGUGUGAAGUAUGAGCCGGUGCAGGCGAUAUAUAUGUGUAAAAAUUGGUGUGGCACAUGUUUAUUUAUAAAGCUUAAAAAGCAUAUAGUAUAAUAAAAAUAUUAUUCUUCAAUUAAUUAAUGUAACAACGACCAUUUGUCUAAAAGAAACAGAGCCCUAAGUGGAGUAUUCCAUUUUGAUUUUAUUUAUUUAUUUGUAUGUAUAAGUUUUUCAUUUAUGAAAUUAAAAAUAAGACACAUACAACUGUUAUACAGCUACCUCAAUCCACUCAUUUCCUAAUACAAUACAAAUAUAAUCAUCUAAUACUUAUAUUGGUCACCAAAAAUUCAUUAGAUUAUAAAAAAACUAGGGGUAUUGCCAAUAUAUAACAUAUCUAUUAUUAUAAAGGUUAGAUGCCAAAUUUUUUAUUCAUAAAAAAUGCAAUUGAUCCUUCAUCGAUAAAUUUGUAAUUUUGGAGAGGAAAAACUUACCAAACAAAAGAAAAGAAAAAAACUAGGUGUUACAAUAAUUAGAAGUUUUUAAAAUAACGCAUGGAGUUAUAAUAGUGUAUUUUUAGAGGAUUUGAGAUUUAACUGUCUAAGAUCAAUAUAUGACUUUUCCUAAUCCUACCCAAGUUAGAUUAAAUCUUAUUUUAUUUUAUAUUAUUUUAAUUCUCAGCUUUAUUUCGUUAAUUCGUUAAGUUAAAAAUUCUUCCUAAACAAAAAAAAACUAAAACAACUCAUUUUCAAUAUAUAUAUAUAUAAAAGGACAUAGUAAGAUUGAAUUAUAAAUAUUAAAAUUAUAAUAAGCAUACUCUGUACUGAUUGUUUUGAAUUUAUGUGUAAAUGAUAUAUAUAUAUAUAUAUAUAUUUAUGUGUAAAUGAAGAUAUAGCGUAAAAAUAUGAAUAUAACACUAAAAGGCUUAAAGGCUUAUAUAGAAGAAUAUAUCAACAUAAGCAAAAUGGCUAUAAAUUAAAAAAUAAUGAAGACAUUUUGUUUGAAUGAUUUUCUUGAUUGAAUUUUCAGAUUACACGAUUUCAUUCGUGCAAUUUUGGUAUAUACAAUUAAAUGUAUGGUUUGAGUUUAACGAUAAUUAAAGAUUUCAUAUAAUUACAUUGUCACGAUAUAGUUUUUUUUAAAAAAAAAUGGUAGAAAAUAUAAUUUUAGUUGGAUGAUUAGUUUGAACUAUAGUGGUUUUAGUUAGAAUAUUGUUUGUUUUUAAUAAGUAGAACUAUAGUCGGUUAAGUAAGAAGAUGGUUUGUGAGUAGAAAAUAGUAUUAUCUAAUAAGAGAUAAUUUCAUACAAAUUAUUAUCCAAGAAGCAAAUACCUGAGCCCUCCCUAUGAGGCAAUAAAUUGGGCGAUGCAAUCAGGUGGAGAAGAGGCCCACGAAAUACAACAAUAUUCUUCUGAAAUAAAUAAGCCAAAGCCCAUGGGCUUUUCUAUUACAACCACCAAAUUCUACAGCCUCUAGUUUUUAUAUCCAUACCCAUUCAACCAUAUGCUAUUUCUUUCUUUCCUUCCUUCUUCUUUAUUUAAAAUAUGAUAGUAAUACUUUAAAAAAUUUGUAAAUACACUAAAAUCUGUCAAACUAGAAAUCUUAUCGCCCAUAGAUAAUAUUGUAAAUAUUGGUCAAUUAAAGAUAGAAGUCUAUGACUAUAUAUUUUAGUGUAUUUACAAUUUUUUUAAAUUUUGUUAUAUACUUAAUUAUUAUUUCUAAAAUUGCAACUAAUUAUAAUUGCUCUACAAAAUAAUUAACGUGUUCCUUUUUGCGAUGAUUGUUAGAGCAAAUUCAAAAUCGAGUAACUUGCCAACCUAAUAUAUACUCAAUAAUUGAAAGAAAUAUCAAUUAUCUAGAGGCCGAGUUUAAUUGAAAGAAAUUGAAACUGUUUUCAUGGGAGUUUAAUUUGAGAAUAAGAAGUUUUUUUUUUUUUUCCACAUUUUGCAUUACUAAUGAAAUUUGCUUACUAUUUUAUUCCAUUAAACACAGAAAUACACAUUGUACCUUUUUAGUACCACAACAAAUAUGGAAUAUAAAAAUAAUAUGGAAACCUAGAGUUUGAUAAAUUUUAGUUUGGCUUCAUCCCAAAAGGUUGCAUUUGAUCUAGAUAGUGAUGAUAGUUAUUCUUAUUUACCAUGUUUACCCAACCAUAAAGAAAAGUAGUUUGAUCUUAAUAAAAUUUCAUUAAUGAAUCUAUGUUCGUUGUUUGAUUUUAGAAUUAUCAAGUUAAGUUGUUACGAUAUUGUUACCAUGGAUAUAAUCUAUCAUAUUUUUGGUUAAGCAUUGCUAGAACCUAUUGGUUAGUUUAUAAUUCUAAUAAUGUUAACAAGUAAGUGGGUUCCACAUAAAAUUCAAACAGCGAUCCUUUAAUCAAACCACUACAAGAAAAGGGGCUCUCCGUACAAAAUCGUCGGGAGAUAUAUGAAAAACGUUGAAAAAGCCUUUUCCGACGCAUAAAUAUACGCCCAAGUUGGAAAAAAUGUGUUGGGAGUUUCUAGACAUCUCCCGACGUUGUAUGAACGUCGAAGACGAUGUAAAUAUAGUGUCAGAAGAUGUCUCGAAACUCCCAACACACAAUGAUGUGCGUCGGGAGUUCCUCUAUUUUCUUUAAAAAAAAUCCUUCAAUUUUAAAUGGAAGGUAUAUACAUUUAUUUCUUGUAUUCACCCCCUCCCAUUAAUUUUUUAUUCACCCAUCUUUAAUUAUUAAUUCAACACCCCCUCCUUAAAAAUUCUAAUCCAAUCCUAAACCCCUUUAAUUUUUAAUCAACCAUUCUAAUCAUCCCCUCAUAAAACAUAAUAUUAUUCCUAAAACAUAAUUCAAAAUCCUAUUCCUCACACAAAAACUAAUUCAAAAACCAAAUUUCUAAUUCAAAACAUAAUUUCUAAUCUAAAUAAAAAUAAAUUACAUCAAACUAAUAUAAAAAAACCCUACAGUAGAGGUGAGAUCUCCUCUUCUUCUUCUCGGUCUCCCUCUCUCUCAUUUUUUCUUUCUCUUUUCUCUUUCAAUUAUGUAAAACUAAAGGAUUUAAUAGAAGGAUAACUCCCGACGUUGGAUGAAUACGUCGGGAUAUACACCAUUAGGUACUCUUUUUUCCGACAUUUCCAAACAAGUUUUUGUGCAUCGGAAAAAUUCCAAUUUCUUGCAGUGAACUAUAAGUUCUUUAAUUUGAUAAUACAAAAUUGAAAAUGAUUACAAAACACAAACGUAAUCAUCCAUCCGUUUAAAGUAGUAAUUUUAUUGUUAAUCAGCUCAAUUAGGGCAUGUAAAUUGCCCCAUCGAAUAUAAAAGAUAAAAAAGUUGGUCUCAUCUAAGAUCAAGCAAAAAGCUUGAAAGUAUAAAAGAUAAAAAAAGGAAAUAAUAGAAGGUGAAGGGCAGUUAUUGAAAUUUAUUUUGAGUAUAUAAUACAUGUAGACUUCAAACUACAACAAGUGGCGAACUCGCGGCGGGGGGAACGGAAAGAUUUGAAACUCCGAUCUCGAGAAGAAAUAAGAAGCAUAGACUUCACUUAGUUGUGGUAAUACAAAUAGUUUACAAUAUGACAAAACAAAGAACUAAGACGAAGGAUUCAAAUAAUAGCGUAUUCGCAUCUUACAGCGUAAUCAAGAAGGCGAUCAAGUUCAUCGAGAGUAACGUAACCAUCGCCGUCGGCAUCCGCGGCUUUGAGUGACUGGCGAGCUCUGAAACGGCUCCAAUUAGACCCUAAGGAUUCAAAGGCCGAUUUCAACUCCAGACGUGAAAGACGGCCAUCGCCGUCGCCGUCGUGCUUGAGGAAAAUAUCACGAAGCUGAUCUCUGGAGAAAGGAACAGGACAUCGCUUGUAGUCGCUAACGCCGUUGCUGAAGACGAAACUCAAAGCCAUGGAAUUUUCUUUUUAUUAUUAUUAUUAUUAUUAUUAUUAUUAUAAGUUUACGGGAUGAUGAUGAGGAGGAGGUUGAAGAAAUAUGUUGUUUGAGUUGAAGAAAGUGUUGAAGGGCAAAACUGCUAUUUAUUGCUCAUUUCCUUCGGCUUUGACGCUGCCUUUUCAAUAUUUGGCCCUAAAAAGUUAGGGGAGCAUUUUGGUAUUUGGAUUGGCAUUGAAUUUGAAUUUUCUUCUAUCUCUUUCGAAUAUUUGUUGGACUUGGUUUUCUCUCUCUCUUUUCAAACAGAGAAAAUAAAACUAUAAAUAUACCUAUUAGAUUCAUAAUAUUAAUAUAAAAUUAUUAAAAUUUAAUGAAAUAUAUUAAUAUAUUUGAUAAACUAUACUCCAAAUAUUAACUUAUUAUUAAUACACGAUAAGAUAAGAGUCUAAUAACAAUGAUAGAAAAUUUAGUGAUUUUGAUUUAGUUUGUCAAUAGUUUCAAUUUUUUUUGUUGGAGGUAAAUUAAGAGUUUGAUCCCAAACCCUCCCCAUAACUCCACACCAUAAUCUCAAAAUAGAUUCAAAAGCAUAAUCUCAAAAUAGAUUCAAAAGCUUUCCAUCUCUCGAUUAUCAAAGUUACGUACUCCACCAAUAUAAAGAAACUUAAAUAAGAAAAAUCGACGAUCACUAAUCUAAGAGUGAGAUUGUAUGUCAAUUGGUAAUAUUACACAAAAAACGACAUGCAUGCAUGCAUCAAGAAUUUGAAGAUACAAACUAAAAAAGUUUGUUAAAAUAUAAGAAGUGGUGCUAUCAUUGAUCUUUUGAGGUUGAUCGUUGGUAAUGACAAGAAAUUAUGAACUAUGAAUUAAUCCUAUAUAUUUCAAAGUUUAAAACAAAAUAAACACUCUAAAUUAAUAUAAGAAGAAUUUGUUAAAAGAAGAAAAACCAAAUGUAUCCAUAUACUUCACGUUUAAAACGGUAGUUAAGAUUAAUGUUAAAAAGAUUUAGUUAUAAUCAAUUAGAAAAGUAUAUAGAUUUGAAAAUUUCAAAUUGCUGACAUUUGAAUAUAAAUUAUUCUUUGGAUAUAAAUUUAGAAAAUUUUCGAAUUAAAAAUAUGUCAAAAUAGAAUUUGUGAAAUGAAAUAGAUACUCCAAAUAAUGAUGAAUUUGAUUGAUAUUAAAUUAAUUAAUCACAUUGCAAUGUCAAGAAUAAGGUUUUUUUUAUAAAAAAAUUGGGUAAAGAUAUCUAAUCAUUCAUUUAAAAGAUUCUUGAAUGUAAAUUUAAAAUAAAAUUAUAUAUAUAUAUUCUUUUGGGGUGCCAUGGGGAUGGAGGUUGGGGAAUAUAUUUCCCAUCCCCGGGCCAUCUGAACUAUGAAUUAGAAAAAUAAUUCUCACUUCGAUCAUUAUCUGUUCGAGUAUUUCUGUUUCGCGACAGAUUCUCAUGGGACCCUUACUCCACGGGUUAAAUGAACGUCUCUAAUUUCAAAAAUGUUUUAAUAUUUUCUUCUAUCAAUCAUUUGACCAUUUUAGUUUGAGAUUUACUCUAUUACGAAUUGAGUUAGGUCUAGCGAAUUUUAUGAUCUUAUAUAUCGAUCAAGUUGUAGUUGAAAAGAUAAAGUAUUGAUUCUAAUUUCUUCAAAUUUUUGUAAUCCAUUAAGCUAGCUAGAGAAAUAAUUGAUAAAAAUCAUAAAACUAAAAUAAAAUUAAAAAGUUAUCCAAUGAAUUAAAAUAGAAUCAACAAAGGUACAGAAAACGAGAAUUAAAAAUAAGAGAGGUUUGUUAGGAAGGAAAAGCUAAGCGAUGGAAUCUUCAAAAGUAAUGUAUGGCUUACAAACAAAGCUAUAUAUAUAAUUCGAUUUAUAUAUAUAUAUAUAUAUAUAUCUGUGUGGGCAAUUUUAAUUCUGAUAAAAAUUAAAAUUUAAAUAUCAUACUAUUUUUCUACCUAAACGAAUAUAAUUCGAUAAUUUUAAACAUGUGUAUGAAAUUAACAACAUGUUUUUUUAAAUAUAAUUUAAAUUUACCAAUCCAAAUAUUAUACUCUUACAAAUAUGUUAUUGAUUUUGGACAAGAAUAUCAAAUUUGUAAAAACUAUUUUAUCAAACAAACUGCUGUAGGAAUAAUUUUCUAGUAAGGUGAUUACAACCUGGGGUAAUAAUUAACGAAAUGUAUAACUUGUAAAUAGCAAAUUCUAUCGUUGAUGAUAGACUUGUCUUUGGUCAAUUAAUGAUAAAUCAUUAAUGAUAUAGUCUAUAACGAAUAGACCAUGAGAGUACUAUAUCGUUGCUAUAUAUUUGCUUUUGUCAAUUUUAAGUAUGUGAAAAUGUAAAAAGUUAAAAACAAUUUUGAUCUGUGAAAUUUCAAAAUAAUUUGAGUUUGGUAUUUGGCUUUUUGAUUUUUUAAUUUAAAAAUUAAGUUUAUUCUCCUUUUUCAUUUCUUACUACCAUUUGCAUAUUUUUCUAGUCAAAUUUGAAAAACAAAAACAAAUUUUUAAAAACUGCAUUUUUUAGUUUAAAAUUAUGGCUUGGGCUUUUAAAUCGUAAAAUGUAGAAAGUUGAAAGUAUAGGCUAAAUAUUAAAAAAUAAAAAUAAAUAACCAAAUGAGAUCUAAAUUAUUGUCAUUUGUUUAAGUCGUCAUCUUUUUCAAUUUCUGUUCGCAUUCAACUUACAUCAUGAGUUGAUUUUGACAUCGAUCGUUUUCAUCUUUUUAGAAAAUUCUCAUCUUUCACAUAAAAGGUAUGGUGCAAAACAUUCAAACAAGCUAAUGGACGCUACAAAGAAAGAGAAUAUAUAUCGAUAGUGCGUAAUUAAAAAGAGUUGUUAGACAUGAGAAUAUAUAGUAGUUAAGACAUCCAACUUUAGCUAUAAUAUUUGAACUUAAAGAGAUAGGCUAAUUAACAUUAACCAACAUGAACUCAGCUCAACUAAACGAGUGGACCAAAGGUCAGACUAUAUCAACAAAAAUUUAGUACGUUUUAAUAGUAAUAAUAAUUAACCAUAAAAGAUCGAUUUUUGUUACUCUAAAAACGUUUUGAAUAUCAUAUGUUGAAGACAAACAUACAUGCAAAUUCUUCAUUCCUUAUUUUCCAAAGAUAUAAAGAAUAUGUUAGUUAAGUGGUAAAAGUGAGAAUUUUGAAAUGAAUUAUGCUUUCUUUUUUUUGUUUGGUAUAUAGUCACCAACAAGAGAAUUUUAGGUAGUGAUAUAUUAUCACACACUGUAGUAAUAAUGGCCAUAUAUAUAUAUAUAUAUAUAUAUAUAAUUCUAGCUGCCCCACUCCCAAGUAAAAAAAAAAACUCUUUUCAAAAAAAUUGUUAGAUGCUGAUCCAUUUUUUCUUACCAUUUUCAUAUAUAGCAAAAUAAAUAUAUACAUCAUAAACUUGACAGAUUGUAUCAAUCAAAUUUUAAAUGUAUAAUAUUUGUUAAGAAUUUGAACAUAUAACUGUUUCAAAUUACAUAUUGAUCCAUCUUCAAGCAAAUGAUGAUGGCUAUAAAAUGACUAUAAAAUAAAAAUGACUAUCGUCUACCUCAAUCAAAACCUUGAACGUCGUUAUUGUGAUCUUUCUCUCUAUGGAAUACAUGAAAGUAGGCUCGAAGUCUUUUUAUAUACUAGUUUAAUUAUGAUCCUUACACCAUUUUACCCCUUCAAUCCAUACUCAAUUAGGAAUUUUUGGUCUUAAUUAAAUAGAUCAUGUAAUAGACCCAAUUUAAUAAAAUAAUCCAAUGUGAUAAAUUAUUAAUUUACAUACAUAACUCAUGUAUCUCAUCCUAUUGUUUAAUCAUGUAUUGUUAUCUAAUAAACUCUCUUUACUGUUUUCUUUUAUUUUGUAGGAUGAGGAUUGAACCUUGGAGAUACCGAUUCCAGUAAAGUAAGAUAAAAAGUAGAAUUGGAUUCCAAUUUUUCCAAUUUUCGGGUUGAAAAAAGUUGGCAUAGUAGUUGUAAGAAAAUUGCUUAUCAUCUAUAUCAUUGCUUGCCAUGGUGCUAUCAAUUUUUGAAAGUGUGAUGAACACAAAAUGAGUAAUUAGCUAAACAUAACAACACAUACGAACUGAAGAUAUAUACAAUUAAAAUACAACUGAUUGAGAUAUAUAUUGUCAAUAAAUUAAAGGCAACAGAGGUUCGAAAGUAAAAUAAAAGAAAAAUACACAUAAGAAGCAGCCGCCAUUUAUUGGACAAGUUUAUAGAAACCGACGAUAUGAUCAACAAGCCGUCGUGGGAGGCGGCGGGGCAGUAAAUAAAAAUCAGACAACAUAACCUUUGCUCAUCAUGUACUUUACGAACUGAUCGAUCUCUUCCUCGCCAAGCUUUCCAUCUCUGUUUCGAUCUGCGUGACACAGAGCACUGUAAGCGAGAUGAACUGGCAUUUCAGCGUCCAGUUUCUUCAAUGCGUUCUUGAUCUCGAACAAUCCUAAUCCUCCGUCUUCAUUCGUAUCCAUUUGGUUAAAGAUCUGUCUCAGUUCUUUGGCAGAGUAGGCGCUUUCCGACGAGACGGGCGGUGAAUUCGAUUUCGUUUUUGGACGGAACAUCGACGACAUGGUUCUGUAGUUGAUUGUGGUUUGGGAAAUUGGGGAGUUGGAUUUGAUUUGAUUUGUUGUUGAAAAUGGAAAGUGGGGGAAUAGGGGAAUUUAUAGAGAAAAAUGGAAAUUAAUGGCGGUGAUUAGAGAAUUGAGAUGCGGAGUUAUCUUUGUGUUCUGUAUUGGGAUUGGUGCGGCUACAAAAUUGGAAUCCAAUUCGGCUUUAGAGUGUCGUACAAUUUAGGAACUGUGCUUUGUGAUGGAUUUCAACGGCUGACUCUGUUUUUAGUUUGAAGUUUAAACAUUCAAAAACACGUUAGAAUGUUGAUGAAAUGUCAUCGGAUUUUGACGUCUAGAGUAAGACGGUGAUUAUUUAAGUAUAUGAUUUAAAAGAAUUUAUACAAUACUUUUGAUUUUGAAAUUUUAAUUAUUCUCGAUUAAAAUAAUUCAUUUUUCUAAAGUAAAGUAGGUUCCUUGGGUCUCAAGGUAAAGAGUAAUAUAUUUUAUUAAUGAAUGUCGAGGUGCUCUCUCUAAUCUUUUUUCACAACAUAUAUAAUUAAAAAGGCAAAUUAAUAUACUUUUUAAUCAUAAGAUCAAAUUAGUUUGAAAUAUUUUGAUUAUUCAACUAUUUUUAAUUAUUAUAUUCAAGAAACACUCGUAAAAAUAUCAAAUUUUCUUCUUUUUAAUGAUAAUAAAAACUCAUGUCACUAUAUUUUUUAAAUUACAAAAAAAGUAAAUUUAAAAGAAGAUAACUCUCUAGUCUUUUAAUAGUCGCAUUUGCUAUAUUAACAAUAUGCAGAAGAGAUUCGUGAGAAGUGGUUUUUUUCUUAAAAAAAUUAUGUAACUUUUUUAUAUUUUAGUAUAUAGUUUUCUUAAAAGGUUUUAGAAGCAACAACAAAAAAAUGUUUUUCUUUAAAAUUCCAUAAAAGCUUGGAGGGAAUGAAGGAAAGCAUGUAAGAAAUUUCCCCUUUCCUUUUUUUAUAUUAAUUUUCUCCCGCAAAGUUUAAUCAUUUAACUUCAAGGAUAGGUCCAAUAAUAUUCGGAAAAAAGAAAGCAUAUAUUAAUAAUUAUAAUAUAUUGCACUCAUCAAUCUUUGGUUGAAUUAUUCAACAUUUGACCACAUUGUAACAAAGGAAUCUCACUUGUCUUUAAUAUUACAAUUGAAUUGCACCUUUCAUUGGAACUAAUGGAAAUAAAUGUUGUUUUUGUUUUGUUAUAUAUAUAGUCACAUCCCAAAUCACACUGCACCAAAAUAACGAUGCUGUAGGAAUAGGAUGUGAGUUAGUUAUAAUCUUGGAAUUUCUUAUUGCAAAUCUUAUUAUUAAUAACAGAUGUUUCAUACAUAAUUACGAUACUUUGACCAAAUAACUAAUGCUUAACCAUUUCCAAAACACCUUGAAUCACAUUGCUGCAAAUCCUUCAGCCUUCUUCUUUACUUGACCCAAAUGCCUGAUCCUGAAAGAUAGAUUUUUAAAACGUAAAUCUAAAAAACUUAGCGAGGUCUUAUGAAAAUCCUUCGCAAUACCAUUUCAUAAUCAUCUCACAAAAAUAAUAUCAAAUCAUUUAAACAUACCGACAAAUCAUUUCAUUUCACAUAAACCUUUCUUUAUACUUAACAAAUCAUUUCAUUUCGCCAAGCAUUCUGAAUCGUUAUCUACGCUUUGUCUCAUUAUCUCGCGUUUAAACUAUUGUAUUAACAACAUCUGAGAACAUACAAAUUCGUCAUUGUUGCUCAGGCUGCUAAGCUUUAUACGCUCAUUUCAACGCAUAAGCCAACUUCUUAUCACCAUGUAGUCCAUACACUUCAUGGUGGCUUUGACUCUAUAUGCUCACAUAAAAGUUAACAUCAUCUCAAAGAAAUAACUGUUGGUUUGAAAACCAUUUUAUAGUAUUGAAAUCAUAAUAUCAAAUCAAGCUUUAACGUUAUAAAUCAUGCUUGAAAACAUAACUUUUUAUAGGAAUAUCUUUUAAACAUUCUCAUUUGAAUUUUUAUUUCAAAUCAGUAAAGAGAAAUCUUAAUAAAGUUUUUAACAUAAAUUCAUUUGAGAGAAAACAUUCACAAAACUUUACUAAACACUCUCAUUUGAAUUUUUCUUUCAAAUCAGUAAAGAGAAAUCUUAAUAAAGUUUUUAACAUAAAUUCAUUUGAGAGAAAACAUUCACAGAACUUUACUAAACAUUCUCAUUUGAAUUUUUCUUUCAAAUCAGUAAAGAGAAAUCUUAAUAAAGUUUUUAACAUAAAUUCAUUUGAGAGAAAACAUUCACAAAACUUUACUAAAGAAGUCCUUAUUCUUCUUCUCGUAUGGUUAAUCUAACACUUCAACAUUUCAACAAAACUCUCAUCAUCCUCUCCUUAGUUAAUAAAAUUCUCUUAUUUAUAGGAUCCUUAAACUAACUUAGUCAUGCAUAAACUUUUCUUAGUUUACCAACUUCUGCUUAAAACUUUACAUGUGUAAAUUUAAUAUUAAAUCUAGUCAUGCUUAAAUCCUUAAUCUUACACGUCUCUGUCAAAUCAGAUUUGAUAUUUUCUUCGCCAGACCUUGCUUAUCGCCUAACCCAAACUGCGAAUAACUUCAACCACUUAACAUUUCUCAUCAAUAAUCUUAGCAGAUGGUUAUAUUUUUACUAUAAGAAACAUUAAUCACAAACUAACCAACUUUUACUCGCAUAGAACUCUUAUCGCGAACUUAAACUUCAAAGCUUUUCUUGCAGACUUCUUCCCCGCGAAACACUUGGUUCUUCUCGCGAAGACUACCCAAAACACUUAGUCAAAUACAAUUAAAUUUUUCACUUCUUAACUUAUGCGGAGACUUUUUCUUUUCUUAUCGCACAAUUUCUUGAACUACCCACUUAAUUGCAAAAACGUAUAUUAAACCAUAAAUUUUUUUAUCGUUUAAUCAUUUUCGCAGAUUUAUUCAAAUGUUAACUUCUUAAUCAAAUUUUACUUUUUUUUACUCAAAUUAAAAGUGAAUCUUACAUAUAUCUUAAGAGUCUAUUGACAAUUAAAUGUUUUUUUUAGAUUGAACAUGUAUAUUUUCACUCUCCCCAAUAAUUUUUAGUAUAACAAUAAGAUUUGAACCUUUCAUUUUAAGAUAGAAAGUCAUAUUAAAUAUUGUUGAGUUGAGUUCAUUUUUUACUUAUACCCCAUAUUUGUUGUGUCGGAAAAGAGUUGGGUUUUAAUUUUUAGUUAAAUUAUAAGUUUAUAGUAACUUCUAUAUAAAAAAUAAGUUGAUUAGUUUAAAAAAAUUAGAAGUACAGUCAUGCAUUCAUAUUUUAAUUAAAAAUGCAUCUUUCUUUAAAAAUGAAAUUACAUUUUUUUGGGAAUUAUAUGUGAUUUAAAUAUUGUUUGGGAUUGAAAGUGUUAAUUAUUCUUAUUUCUCAAUUAAGAAUAUUUCUUUUUCUAAAGUAGCUAUAUCUCCCUCAUCAAUCUCUCCUUUUGCCAUGUCAAGAAUAUAUAUUUCUUUUGUGGUGAUGGUCGAGAAAACACUACCGACCUAAGUUAAAUUUGCCUAACUCAAUCUAUAACGAAGAGAAAAACUAGAUGGUAUUUGAAUUGUAUUUAUGUUUGCACGUCUAUCAAAAAAUUAUCACGUGGAUGCAUAUAACUUUAUUAAAAAGGUAAAAUAAGAUUAUAAUUAUCGUCCUAUUUAAAAUUAAUUAAUAUGCAUGUAGUAUCUUACAUUUUAGAAUUAAGGUUGCUAAAAAAAAUUGAUUGCUCAAUUACUUAUUAUUUCUUAAAUCAAUCAACUUUAUUUGUUUGGUUGCAAUUUCAAUUAAGUGAUCAAUUUCAUAGGUGGUCAAGUUUGGGACAAAAGCUUCGAGGGAAUAAAGCAAAAAAAAGUAGGAUAUUUCAAUUUCUUUUAAUCAUUCAACUUCAUCCAUAAAUCCAUUAAUAAUAUUCGGACAAAUGAAAAGAUAUUAUAUUCCACUCAUUAAUGGUUGGUUGAAUUGUAAUGAACAUUUGACCAUAAUGUAACAAAGUAACCACUAAAUUAGAGAUGCACAAGUAAAAUUACUCAAAAUUGUGUGUUAAAUUUUCCAAUUGAAAGGCAAUUUGAUGGGAACAAGCUUUGCCAAAUUUGAUAUCUGUCUCUUACAAACAAAAGGAAGAGAAGGCAUAGGUUGACUCUCUUUAGUAACUUUGAAUAUGAUUCUUGAUAACUUUGGAUCGGCUAUGCUGAUUUUAUUAUAUAGAUUCAUCAUUCUUGUGAGCAAGCAAUUGUAGAAGAAAAGUAUUUGGAUACAUCACGAAUCAUACUAAUCUUUAUGCAACACACUCGGAUCUUUUGGUGAGAUAUGAGAAUUCUGUGUCUCUCUCUUUCAAAUUCCGUCAUAACUUGACCAAUAGGAAAACGACGAAGGUGACCUCUCUUCUUUCCUUACUUGAGGGGUGGAUGCUCUCAUAAAGAGGGGAGAAGGGAUGCUUGUGUUUGGAAUCUUAAUCUCAGUCAGGGUGUCACUUGUAGGAUCUUGUUUCCUUUAAGGAGCCGAUUUUUGAUGUGGUGUGGAGGACUAAGGUUCUUUAUAUGACAAGUUUUGCUUGGUCGGGUUAAUACUGUUGAUAGGGCUUGUUAAGAGGAGGACUUCACUUGUUGAACCUUUUGUUGUAUGUUGUGUCGGAUAUGGGCGGAGUAAAAUCUUGAUCAUCUCUUUUGAGAUUGCUAGUUGUAAGGGUUGUGUGGUGCUCCUUCCUUCAAGAGUUUGGUGUUAGCUUUGCUUGUUUGAGGAGUAUUAUAGCGAUGAUCGAGAAGUUUCUUCUCCAUUCACCUUUCAGAGAUAAAUGAAUUUUUUUAUGGCUUGUUGGGAUGUGCACGGUUAUUUGAGACAUUUGGAGCGAAAAGAAUGAUGCGGUGUUUAGGGGUAGAGAGAGGGGACAUAGUGAGAUUUGUUUUUUUUUGGAGUAGUUGCAAAUU
rnacentral:lncRNA from 1 species